GCAGUAUUUUAACAACACGGAGAAGGAAACAGAUGCAUGAACUACUCCAGUUUCAACAGAGAAAAAGUACAAGUUUGAUGUUUUAAAGAAAAGCGGAUGCAGUCAUGUUGUCCUCUUCUUGGAAGUUACAACUGAUGAGCAGAUGAAAAAAUGAAGGAACAAGCUUCACAACUGGACUGGUUGGGAGAAAUGAUUCAAGCAGAUCUACAGCCCUCAAAGAACAGCCCACAUUUAGCAGCAUAAUGAACAGCUGAGCUUGAGCAUGAUUUUAUGUGACUGAGUGAAGCCUCUUUCCAUAUCAAAUCUUUGAGUCUCUUACUCUCUAAAAGAAAAGUUUGCCCCAUAAAACUGGAAGAGAAGAAAUAGGUGAUGUAAACAUGGAUGUGCUGAUCAACACAAGGGAAGCACAAAACUGCAGGUAUGGGCAUCAAGCAAGUUGUGCCAUUUAGUAGAGAAAAAAAUAGAAUUGAUAAGAACAAAGUAAAAUUGAUAAAAAUACAAUACCUAAAUUCACUAAUCAUGUGAAUUAGCCUGGCGUGAUAAGAGACAGAAAUUUGAAACCUUUGUCAUAGUGUCUGGCAGCAGUUUAGAAAGCAAAUAGGGCCUAAGGAAGUAGAAUUAGAUGGAGAGGACUGCACUCAUCAGUAAUUAAAGCACUAUUCUGAGAAAAAGCAAGGCAAAGCCACUUAUUAUUGCUAACUACCUUGAGUGUCAUGUUACACAGAAAAUACAAAAAUACAACUGUAAAGGUGAGCACAAAUAUCU